CGAGUUGGUUGGAUGAUCGCGGUGCUGUUCGAAAGAGCAGAUCGAGGAAAGUCCGGACUCCAAAGAGCAGGGUGAUGGCUAACGGCCACCCGGGGAGACCCGCGGGAUAGUGCCACAGAAAACAAACCGCCUAGAAAUAGGUAAGGGUGAAACGGUGGUGUAAGAGACCACCAGUACUUGAAGCGAUUCAAGUAGCUAGGUAAACCCCACUCGGAGCAAGACCAAAACUGAUGAAAAUUGGUUCGUAAACGUUGAAGCUGCUCGCUGAUGUUUACGGGUAGGUCGCAUUGAGGUAAGUAGUAAUACUUACCCCAGAUGGAUGAUCAUCUAAACAGAAUCCGGCUUAUAGACCAACUCGUCUC
rnacentral:RNase_P_RNA from 1 species